CAGUCAAGUUGACAUCUAAAAUUAACCAUCACAGAGAUAUAAGAAAGAUUGGAGAACUGUGUGCCUGGCAAUUGCCUUGCUGAAAGGAAGCCCUCAGAAAAAGUUGUUUGAUGGUGAGAGCUGGCCAAGCCAGAAAGACAAACCAAGCGACUUUGAGUGGGGGCUUUGUGUCACAAGGCAUCAGUAGACCUGGAGACUGAGUUCAGGCAAUCAAUCAAUCAAUCAAUCAAUCAGGCCUACAGAAUGAAACUCCAACUAAAAACUGUGGACACCAAAGCUCAGCUGAUUUCCUGGUUGGCAAUACUCCAUGCAUAUUGUCACACAUCAAUGCCAGCUGGUCAGUGGUAGAGGACAAUAAAAGUUUUCACACUUGGAA
rnacentral:lncRNA from 10 species